rnacentral:rRNA from 1 species
UACGGAGGGUGCAAACGUUGCUCGGAAUCAUUGGGCGUAAAGCGCACGUAGGCGGCGCGUUAAGUCGGGUGUGAAAGCCCUGGGCUCAACCCAGGAAGUGCAUUCGAAACUGGCGCGCUUGAAUAUGGAAGAGGGUCGCGGAAUUCCCGAUGUAGAGGUGAAAUUCGUAGAUAUCGGGAGGAACACCAGUGGCGAAGGCGGCGACCUGGGCCAAUAUUGACGCUGAGGUGCGAAAGCGUGGGGAGCAAACAGG